ACCCGGACCUGGAGACAUCGGAGGCAGUGGUGUACCACAUCUGUAUCGGGCACAAAAACACAAACCCUGAAGGCUGCAGACCAGAGAUACUUCAUAUCAUGAAAGGCUGUUGGCGGGAGCCGCACACUCUGAGACCCUCAUUCACAGACAUUGUCCACACGCUGGAGGACAUCCUGGAAAAUGAUGCAGAUUACGUGGAAAUCGAUGGUUCAGAGCUUCUGGUGACAGAAGAGGCUGUAUACCAUGACUCUAAAUAUCUACGAGCGGCCAGCGUCACCCUGGAUGAUGAAGAUCACACCUAAAGAGAUUCCAGCAGUUUCAUGUACAUGUGAAACCCACACACCCUGUUUGGACUGCUCCACUGCAUCUGGUCUUUCAAGUGCUGUCUCAAAUAUAUAUUUGAAUAAACAACCCAUCAAAAAUUAAAAAAAGGAAAGUAGAGUCAUAUCGUGUGGACGGUAAAUGUAAUGUACUUUCAUGGG